UAUAUCAUAUUCAACAAGAAUUUGUUAUAAUUGUUAAUGGCUUUUUAUCAAUUAACGUAAAAAUGAAUGAUAAUGUGUUAAAAAUCUUUUGAAAAAAAUAUGUCAAUCAAGAGCAAAGACAUCGUUAUCAAAACUCCAUUUAGCCGAAUUAUCGUUAAAACGAUUUUCAUACGGAUUAAUCAACAUUACGUUGCAAUUUUGCAAUUUUUCUUUCAAUAUUUUGAUAACGCCAUUCUUGUUUUCGUAUUCGUCCCAUAGCGAAAUCGAAACGUUCCUUCUUGCCGCCACGCACGUCACGCCGCGUCCACUGACUUUCAUACAGAUGCGCUGACAGAAUUCGACUGUUGCUUGGCAAGUGCGCAUGCGCAUAACUCGCCGUGCCACGAGUGCAAUGAUACAUUCGCCGCGUUAGUGCAAUGCAAGAGAAUGACGUCAGAUCUGAACGAUUAGUCUGUCAGUGGUUCUCCGUUUUGUUGAUACUCCGUCUGGAGCGAAAGGUUAACGCGCAAAAACCAUCUUGACUGUUUUUGCUUCAAGAACAUGACUAGACGAUACUUCCCGCUGGUAGUCAGAUCGCAAAUGUUUAAAAUACAUCGUGCAAAUGCGAGCCCACCAAUUUUUCUGAUAAAAUUCAUCCGGUGAUGAUGAAACAUAGAAAUUUGGAUCAAUCAUGAAACGUCAUUGCAACGUCGAUAAUAAUUAUCCACGGUCGUUCACAUACGCAAAAUUUGUUUCUACGAGAGUGAAGGGGAAAGAGAAAAAGAAAGAGAGAGGAAAUAGAGGGAGAUAGAAGGAGAGAGAGAAUGGAGGGUAGGAAGAGAGAGAUAGGAGGCUACUGCAACGUGAUGAGAUGUUUUUUUUCGCAUGGAUUCUUCAACGUUCAAUGAAAACUGGAUUAAUUUAUACGUUAUAUUAUGGCGAUAUGAUUUCCACGACGUGGUGGAAUAUUCGUUUCAUCGAUAAUCGAUGUGCUUUUAAUCGCGGCUAGAUCUUUCGUAUUGCAUGCGCAUUAUUAGCUGAUUUGCUGGAUAUAAGAAACGAUCAUAUUCAUUGCUAAUACAUAUCGAUGAGAUUUGCAAAUUCAAAUUAAUCAGAAUUAUUUACCUAAUAUCGGAACUCUGCGGAAAAUAACGCUGGUUUUACAUCGACAUUGAAUUAAAUCAUUACAUACUACGAUAUGAUAAUAUAUAACAUGAUAUGUUGAUAACGAUUGAUUACAAUUAUGUAUAUUAACUUUCUCUUUCUCUCUUUCUCGUUUUUGCUCUUUCUCUGUUUUAUUUUUUUUCUUUACUUUCAUAAUGUUAGUGUCGAUAUAAUCAGCGGAAUGAUUUACGGCUUUUUAAUAAGUUCAAGUAAAAACUCGUGAAAUUCUAGUGAAAUCUAUCGUGCUCGAUAUUUGCGUUCUCGACUUUUGUCACGAUAAUAAAAUGAAUAAAACUCAGACUACGAUACAUAUGAUACAUAUUUGUGUCGACAAACAGAGAGAGCAAUUUUCAUAUGCUUAUUUUUUCGAAAUUCAAAUCGUUACAAAUAAAAAA